AUAGGGGAGCCGGAGGGAAACCGAGUCUUAAUUGGGCGUUAAGUUGCAGGGUAUAGACCCGAAACCCGGUGAUCUAGCCAUGGGCAGGUUGAAGGUUGGGUAACACUAACUGGAGGACCGAACCGACUAAUGUUGAAAAAUUAGCGGAUGACCUGUGGCUGGGGGUGAAAGGCCAAUCAAACCGGGAGAUAGCUGGUUCUCCCCGAAAGCUAUUUAGGUAGCGCCUCGUGAAUUCAUCUCCGGGGGUAGAGCACUGUUUCGGCUAGGGGGCCAUCCCGGCUUACCAACCCGAUGCAAACUGCGAAUACCGGAGAAUGUUAUCACGGGAGACACACGGCGGGUGCUAACGUCCGUCGUGAAGAGGGAAACAACCCAGACCGCCAGCUAAGGUCCCAAAGUCAUGGUUAAGUGGGAAACGAUGUGGGAAGGCCCAGACAGCCAGGAUGUUGGCUUAGAAGCAGCCAUCAUUUAAAGAAAGCGUAAUAGCUCACUGGUCGAGUCGGCCUGCGCGGAAGAUGUAACGGGGCUAAACCAUGCACCGAAGCUGCGGCAGCGANNNNNNNNNNNNNNNNNNUGCUGGAGGUAUCAGAAGUGCGAAUGCUGACAUAAGUAACGAUAAAGCGGGUGAAAAGCCCGCUCGCCGGAAGACCAAGGGUUCCUGUCCAACGUUAAUCGGGGCAGGGUGAGUCGACCCCUAAGGCGAGGCCGAAAGGCGUAGUCGAUGGGAAACGGGUUAAUAUUCCCGUACUUGGUGUUACUGCGAAGGGGGGACGGAGAAGGCUAUGUUGGCCGGGCGACGGUUGUCCCGGUUUAAGCGUGUAGGUGUGUGUUCCAGGUAAAUCCGGUUCACUUUAACACUGAGGCGUGACGACGAGGCACUACGGUGCUGAAGCAACAAAUGCCCUGCUUCCAGGAAAAGCCUCUAAGCAUCAGGUAACACGAAAUCGUACCCCAAACCGACACAGGUGGUCAGGUAGAGAAUACCAAGGCGCUUGAGAGAACUCGGGUGAAGGAACUAGGCAAAAUGGUGCCGUAACUUCGGGAGAAGGCACGCUGACACGUAGGUGAAGUGAUUUACUCAUGGAGCUGAAGUCAGUCGAAGAUACCAGCUGGCUGCAACUGUUUAUUAAAAACACAGCACUGUGCAAACACGAAAGUGGACGUAUACGGUGUGACGCCUGCCCGGUGCCGGAAGGUUAAUUGAUGGGGUCAGCGUAAGCGAAGCUCCUGAUCGAAGCCCCGGUAAACGGCGGCCGUAACUAUAACGGUCCUAAGGUAGCGAAAUUCCUUGUCGGGUAAGUUCCGACCUGCACGAAUGGCGUAAUGAUGGCCAGGCUGUCUCCACCCGAGACUCAGUGAAAUUGAACUCGCUGUGAAGAUGCAGUGUACCCGCGGCAAGACGGAAAGACCCCGUGAACCUUUACUAUAGCUUGACACUGAACAUUGAGCCUUGAUGUGUAGGAUAGGUGGGAGGCUUUGAAGUGUGGACGCCAGUCUGCAUGGAGCCGACCUUGAAAUACCACCCUUUAAUGUUUGAUGUUCUAACGUGGACCCGUAAUCCGGGUUGCGGACAGUGUCUGGUGGGUAGUUUGACUGGGGCGGUCUCCUCCUAAAGAGUAACGGAGGAGCACGAAGGUUGGCUAAUCCUGGUCGGACAUCAGGAGGUUAGUGCAAUGGCAUAAGCCAGCUUGACUGCGAGCGUGACGGCGCGAGCAGGUGCGAAAGCAGGUCAUAGUGAUCCGGUGGUUCUGAAUGGAAGGGCCAUCGCUCAACGGAUAAAAGGUACUCCGGGGAUAACAGGCUGAUACCGCCCAAGAGUUCAUAUCGACGGCGGUGUUUGGCACCUCGAUGUCGGCUCAUCACAUCCUGGGGCUGAAGUAGGUCCCAAGGGUAUGGCUGUUCGCCAUUUAAAGUGGUACGCGAGCUGGGUUUAGAACGUCGUGAGACAGUUCGGUCCCUAUCUGCCGUGGGCGCUGGAGAACUGAGGGGGGCUGCUCCUAGUACGAGAGGACCGGAGUGGACGCAUCACUGGUGUUCGGGUUGUCAUGCCAAUGGCACUGCCCGGUAGCUAAAUGCGGAAGAGAUAAGUGCUGAAAGCAUCUAAGCACGAAACUUGCCCCGAGAUGAGUUCUCCCUGAGACUUAGAGUCUCCUGAAGGAACGUUGAAGACGACGACGUUGAUAGGCCGGGUGUGUAAGCGCAGCGAUGCGUUGAGCUAACCGGUACUAAUGAACCGUGAGGCUUAACC
rnacentral:rRNA from 1 species